UACGAAGGGGGCUAGCGUUGUUCGGAAUUACUGGGCGUAAAGGGCGCGUAGGCGGUGUGUCAAGUCAGGCGUGAAAUCCCCGGGCUCAACCCAGGAACUGCAUUUGAAACUCCCUUUCUUGAGUGUCGGAGAGGAAAGUGGAAUUCCUGGUGUAGAGGUGAAAUUCGUAGAUAUCGGAAGGAACACCGGUGGCGAAAGCGGCGCGCUGGAUCCCUUCUGACGCUGAGGCGCGAAAGCCAGGGGAGCGAACGGG
rnacentral:rRNA from 1 species